AGGCUCCUGUCAGAGUAACACAUCCAUUCCGAGCUGGCAUCGGAAACAGGAGCAUCGGCAGUGUCAGAACAGGGAAUAACAGUGCUAGUCCUAGUUAAUGAAUAUAUGGGAGGGAAGGGCAGUGGGAGUGAACAACCAUCCAUCCCUGUGUGCUGUUGGACUGACUGCCCAGAGCAUGGGCAGGUUUCUGUCCCUCAUGUUCUCUUUUUGGGAAAUCAAACCAACUGGGAAAAGAGCUGUCUUGAUCCCCUGUACUGCGCUGAUGGAUACUGCCUUCUCUCAGGGAGAUCCCUGCCAUCCCCCUUCAACAUCAUCAAAGAAACUGUGAGCCUGGAGUAACUGGAUAAAAGCCCUUCAAAAUGAGAACCUUCCUCGACAGUCUCAUUCCUGAUCAGAAAUGCCUCUCCACGGAAGCCUGCAGAGCUCUCUGUUCAUGCCAGUGUAAUGACACUUAAUGCCAUUGCUUGCUGCAAUUCUGUUUCCUGAAGGAGGAGAGUCCCUGGAGGGAUCAGUCACACCAUGCUGCAAACCAGGAGGAAUGUCUCUACGUGGGUUUGCUUAGAAAAGAGCUUCUGACAACAAAUCACAGGCUGUUCUACUGUGCAGUCUCCAUAGAAAACAAGGUUCGUUUAGGGGUGUGGAGUAAGAACUGUGUCCCUGGGCAGAAUCAGCAGUAUUUCCAGGUCAGUGAGAAUCAAAUCUGUUGAUAGCAGUUCAUGAUUACUGCCCAGAGAAUCUCUUUGCUCUGCUUUGUCCUGCCUGAGGCAAACUGAGAGGUAAAUCAGGAGAGCUGUCAGAGAGCUUCCUCACGGAGAGCUUCCUCAUGGAGAGCACCCUCACGGAGAACUUCUUCAUGGAGAGCACUCUCCUGGAGAGCAUCCUUCCUCCACACUGCCGGACACGCCAUCCCCACCGUGCAGACCAGUUAUUUGUGAACACCUGAAAGCUGCUGUGUUAGCCCUUCUCACACACUGGCUCUUCUGGAGUGGACAACCUCGGAGCUGGUCACCUGGGAUCAUUGUGCUCUGGGAAGCCUUCCCGGACUUCGCUCUGAGAGGUGGGGAUGCUCAGCUGAUGUAAGGGAGAGCUGCUGUGGGAUGCUGCACACUGUGGAACACUUGGUCCCUCCUCCAUCUGCAGAUACCAACAGAUAUCACGGUAAACUCCAGCCCUGCAAAAUAGCAUCUCCUGUGUGUAAGCCAGCACAGCACAAAAAUCCAUGUGAAACAAGUCGCCAAGUGCUGACUUCAGGUGAGGCAGAUGCCCACUCCCGAGUAUUGACUGCUACUGAUCAAGAAAGUUUUUUUCCUUUUUUUAAUUAAAGUUUUCAGAUGAUAUUGCUAACACAGAGCAGAACCAAACCAGGUGUAAUUAGCUGCGGAGCAAAUGAGGCUGUUCAAUUCACAAGAGUUUUGAUUUCCACUUUCCAGAAGUGCAGCACUUCAUCUCUCAUGGGAAGGGUUCAAACUCAGGAUCUCAGGAUCCUGCUGGGAUUUGGCAACUUAUUUCCAUGAGCUGAUUGUCAACAGUGGUGAAAUUAAUGACAGUGCUAUGAACAAUCUACAUCUGCCCAUCACCUCGUGAUGUGUUAGGCAUGCACAUAUCACACUUGCAAUGAAAUUAAUUACAGAAUGACACAGGAUCCUCCUUGCAAAUACACCGACACAUCAGGCAGCCCUGUCAGCUUUAUUGUGUGUCAUAGUCUCAGCAAACCCGUUUCUUUCAAGAAUUUGCAACUUGUUUCAGACUGCUAAACACAACCUUCCAUUUAGCAGUUUGUACAGUUUAAGAGAUUGACUUGUAAAACGAUUUCUGCUCCACUGACAGCAAUGUUUCAUUUCCUUUCACAUCUGUUUGAACAGUUUAUUGUAAAGCCUUCCCCCAUUGCAGUGCUUAUUGCUUCAUGUUUUUUUACUGUUCCCUUAUUACUUGAAUUAUUUUCCCUUUGUGUCCUUUACCAUCUCAAGUAUCCAAAACAAACUGGAUACGUAAGAGAGCCCGGGGCUAGACAUGUUUCCUGUGAGAGCUCUACAAUGGAAAGAAAGGGCAACAUGUACCAAGCCUUGCCCAACACCUGUUCAUGAUAUCUGUAAGUUAAAUAGUCACAUUAAAUAGUCAUCUAGUUAAAAAUAUGUGGUCAACCUUAAUAUAGAAUUUAGGCGUGGAAUUAGGCCUGGUUGUUUAACAUUACUUUAUAGGAUUUACAAGAUUAAUAUACUGCAUUAAUUGAAAUCUGCAUCACAGCAGAAAUCUGCCAUCUGCUUUAGUCACCCGGAUUGCCCCCUCCUUCCAGCGCCCAGAGCACUGUGGGCAGGAGACAGGCCCUGCCACUGCUGCGAGAGGUGUCCCCAGCCUGCAGAGCCACACCAGCCAGAGCCCUGGCACGGCCGGGGCAGGGCACCCCGGCGCCAGGAGAGGUCCCCGGGGCUCCUGCAGCUGUGACAGCUCCUCCUGGGAGCCAGCGAGGAGUGCAGUGGUCAGAGACAGCCAUGCAGUCAUAGGGAGGGUAGCGGGGGGAGCUCAGUGUGGUGUAAACAGCUGGAUUAAAGUCACUCACAGGGCAAAAGCAGAACAAAUGAAUGACAGCUUCGGUCAAGAAAGGCAGAAACCGGCUUCCACAAUGAAUUGAGUCGGGUGUGGUUUCAAUCCAGCACUUAUUGUGGAACG